UACAGAGGGGGCGAGCGUUGUUCGGAAUUACUGGGCGUAAAGGGCGCGUAGGCGGCCUGCUAAGUCGGACGUGAAAUCCCCUGGCUCAACCAGGGAACUGCGUCCGAUACUGGCGGGCUUGAAUCCGGGAGAGGGAUGCGGAAUUCCAGGUGUAGCGGUGAAAUGCGUAGAUAUCUGGAGGAACACCGGUGGCGAAGGCGGCAUCCUGGACCGGUAUUGACGCUGAGGCGCGAAAGCGUGGGGAGCGAACAGG
rnacentral:rRNA from 1 species